GCCGCAGAACCUCGAUUCACACCAGGUCCCCUGAGAGUUCCCCGAGACCAGAGAAACCCACGAGACAGAAACCCUUCCCAAGAUCCGGCCGCCGCAGGCCCCAACAAGGGAGGGUCCCUUAAAAUCGACCCCGAAUUCCUCCCAUCGUGAGAAAAAACUGAAGAAAAACCGCGACCCAGAUGAGGGAACGCCUUCUUCCGAGACCCUGUGCCCGAGCUGCCGCAAGGUGUUGAGAAGAAAGAGAGCUCCAAAAAUCCAGCAAGGGAAGAGGAAAGAGGGGGAGGGUGGGAGGGAGAGGAGCAGGAACGAAGAGAGAAGAACAAGAAGAAAAAGAGUAAAGUCGACAAUAACUAGGGAACCCUAACACGUUCCCCAGCUCCUCGUUAAAAAUCACAAACCAGAAAGGAAAGAGGGGAAGAAAAAUUCCUCGAAAUAAAUUAAUAGAGAAUAAUCUUCGAGAAAGGUGAGGGGAGCAUUAGCCUGUUUCCCUUCCUACCCUCAAAGAAGCCGCGCCACCCCCCCCCCUCCUCUUCUCGCAACCCUCGAUCUACCGCUCGUCAAUCAUCAUCCAACUCCGCAUCUCGUCCACUAUUCAUGCAUCCCAUCUACCGACGGAAAGAAUAACAGGAACGCGGAUCCGAAGAAACAAAGACCGUAAUUAAUAAAACAAGGCCCCCCCUUUUCUAUUUAUUUCGAACGGCGACGAAUGGGUUCGCGGAUGUGCGGACGUUUGCGUAAACCCUCGACCACGCGCCCACGAGUCGAACGCGAACAAGAGAGAGAGAGGAGAGAGAGUGGUAAGAAUAGGAGCGGAAGACGAUCGGGCGAAGCUUUCCAUUGACGGAACGAGAGCCGGGAACCAGAACCCAGUCGAGAAAUCCAAAAAUAUCCUCACAAGUUUAAAAAGGCGGAUUAGACGUCACAUGCUUAGAGACCGGAGAGGGGGCGGGGGGACGGAAUGGCAUCAGAACGCCGGGGCCGUCGGGCGAUUUGCCGACAAAUAACCAAAAUAGGGUUCUACGGGCAUCAUUGAGAAGCGUCGCCCGCAGUUAUUAUCGCCGUAUUUAUUAGUCGCAAGCGCGGGAUUUUUGGCCCUUUCCCGGUAGCGCCUUCGUUUCUGAGCAGGAUCCUAUCGGGACUCCUACGACGAAUCAGGAAGAAGAGACUAAACAAAAAUCAACGAGCGGGCGAAGCCAAGAGCACAACUUUUUGACCCAGACCGGCAGAAACCUCGAAGAUCUUGACAUGGGCUCUCUCUCUCUCUCUCUCUCGCUACACUCUGUGGC
rnacentral:lncRNA from 1 species